GCUCCGCGGCCAGGUCGCGCCUGCGCAGGCGGGCUUUCCUUCCCGAACCAGCCCAGGGUUAGGAUUUUUUGUUUCUGGCGGGAUUUAGCAAAUAAGUGGUGACUCCAAGUUGGAUUUUGGCGAAAGUGUGUGGAUGAUGCUGCCAUUUAACUGAGAAGUGAGGGUGAUUUCCGGGAGCUUGGAACAAGCAAAUUUUGGAAAGAUGCAGCUGUAAAGGGAUGAUCUUGACGAGGAGCCCAACAAUAAGUUUAACCAACUGCCAAGGAGAAAAUGUGUAAUUAACUGAAUAUUGUAUAUAAGCAACAACUAAGCCUCCUUUCUGUAAGACAGAGGUUUGGGUAUGAAUUCCCUGUCUCCUUUACUUGCUGCAAGUAAAUAAAACUACCUCAGGACGAUCA